rnacentral:lncRNA from 1 species
AUCUCUAUCUGGAGGUCAUCCCUCUUGGAACACUUCAGUGAGCCCAGGACACAGAUGCUUUCCUUAAGUGGGAGAAAUGCCAAAUGCCUGAAGUUUGACAGCUGGUCGGAGUGGGUGUGCAGCCCCUGAACAAGACUCUACCACUACAGAAGGAGACGGUUUCCAGAAAUUGCUUCCACAACAGCAGUGGCUGUUUCCAAAGGGAAAGCUGUAUCUGAAUAGCUGCAGAAGAGUGGAGAGCGGCAUGCCAGUGGAGCUGGAGUACUGAAACGUAGCUAGAGGCUUGCAUUUCAGGAGUGUCACCAGGACUGAUUUUGCAUCUUUACUGUCCUCACCUGAACAUUUCCCACAACCCAGCACAGUUCCUAAAAUAAGAAAACUUUGUCUUCAAAGACUAGAUUGAACAAACUCACUUGUCUUGAGAAAUACUUUCACCUACACUUUAAAAAGUUUUCAAAUGGUUUAACAAAAUAGAUAUUCAUUAGGGAAACAGUUUAAAUUCCAACAAGUACAUCCCAAGUAUAGAAUAUUCUGUUCUCUCAGGGUUUUACUUGCAAGCAGAUCAAUUAGAAUCCAAUGGCAACUAAGCCUGAGGGGAUCAUUCCUAGGCCAAAGUUUAAGAGAAGCAGAACAUUGCUUUGUUCUGGAAGGCUGUUAGAAUUCUUAGAAUUUCCCUAAUUCAUUGUUCUCCUUUCAUAAUUGCUGUUUUGCUUUGACAAGAGCAUUUUCCGUGAAUCAGUUUAACAGGCAAGAAGAUCCAACUCAUUACUGUCACCUCCUUAGCUGUUUAAUGAACUGGUCCUUCUUUCCUGUAAAUAUAAUGGAUUAUUCUGCAACAAAAUUAAACUCAUUCUCAAAG